GAGGUUUCUUCCCCUGGAUGCUGAGAUUAAGGAGGCAGCUUUCACUGAUGCAUGGAGGCCUGUUUGGAAUAUUUCAUCAUCUUCCCAACUGAAACCUCAUGCUACCAUUUGGGUUCCACAAGGGGCUCUGUCUCUCGCUACUGCAGCAAUCUUUGCCCAUUUUGAUCAGGAAUAUCCUGUCCUGCUUCUGGGAUGUUCAAAAAUGAUUUUUGGAGCCUGUGGAAUAUCAUCAAGUUGUGAACUGACAAAGUGGAGAUGUCUUAAUGCAUCAUAUAGUUAAAUGGUGACAUGAUGACAGUUUGAGGUGGUUACCAGACCUCUGGAUGUAGUCCGCCAACACAGUUCCCAGCACUAGAGAUUGACAUGGAACACUGCUUCCACAUGCUGGCUGCACAACAAUCCCAUCAUCUGCUGGUGAGAGGAGGCUGAGAUGGAGCUCAGGAUCUGAACCCAAA